rnacentral:lncRNA from 1 species
CACUAUGCUUCAAGAACAAGGGUGGAUGGUCCUAAACUAGGAUAGGUAAGGAUAAUGUGGUUUAACAAAGAAUGUAGGCUAUCAAGGCUCAAUGGGGUUAACUUAAACAUAUAACGAUAUGGGAUAUAUGGCAGUUUGGCUUUGGUGGUGGUAACUACACAACGUCAUCUUGAAUAUGUGUUAUGCAAAUCAAUAGCAUGCUUUGAAUGAAAUAGGCAUGAGUUCUAGCAUUUGGAACUAAAUGAUGAAACGCCUUCUAAGUAAUAACCAAGCAAAGAAUAAUGAGAUCAUGCAACGACUUUAGAAAACAAUAAUGCACAGAUUUUAACUCUCCAAAUAAACAUUUAGGCUCAAGUCUCACAAGGUUGUAGCGUUAGUUUGAGUUCUUUCCUUCAAGCAUGUUACAAAAAAAACUAAUUUUUUUUUCUUUUAUGAUUACAUGUGAUUUCAUAAGUUAUAACCACAAUCACGCAUAAAUAAAGAGUAAAUCAAACUUUCAUCCAUGUUUAUAACUCUCUUUAAAAGUCAUGCAAUUACAAACUGAAUCCUCAUCAUUGUGUUGGAAGGUACCCUAAGACACAAAUAAGCACACAAAAACAACUCUUUUUGGGAUUUUCAAAAGCAAUUUUUCAAAUUUUUAUGAAUUUUCGGAUUUUUAUGUCAAAACACACUGAAAUACUCCAAAACAGCUUAAAAAAAAAUACUUAAAACAGUAAGGAACAACACUAGAAGUAAUGGG